CGAUACUGUGCUUCAUUCGGUGUUCAAUGUAAUUCAAAAAUCUUCGGCGCAAUCCACUAAAUUCUCUCAACUCUAACUAAAUACUGAUUGCUCUUCUUGCUCCUUGAAAACU
rnacentral:sRNA from 1 species